rnacentral:rRNA from 1 species
AGCGAACGCUGGCGGCAGGCCUAACACAUGCCAGUCGAACGAACUCUUCGGAGUUAGUGGCGGACGGGUGAGUAACACGUGGGAACGUGCCUUUUGGUUCGGAAUAACUCAGGGAAACUUGUGCUAAUACCGAAUGUGCCCUUCGGGGGAAAGAUUUAUCGCCAUUAGAGCGGCCCGCGUCUGAUUAGCUAGUUGGUGAGGUAACGGCUCACCAAGGCGACGAUCAGUAGCUGGUCUGAGAGGAUGACCAGCCACACUGGGACUGAGACACGGCCCAGGCUCCUACGGGAGGAAGCAGUGGGGAAUCUUGCGCAAGGGGCGAAAGCCUGACGCAGCCAUGCCGCGUGAAUGAUGAAGGUCUUAGGAUUGUAAAAUUCUUUCACCGGGGACGAUAAUGACGGUACCCGGAGAAGAAGCCCCGGCUAACUUCGUG